rnacentral:rRNA from 1 species
GCACCUUCGGGUGAGCGGCGGACGGGUGAGUAACGCGUGGGAAUAUGCCCUUUGGUACGGAAUAGUCCUGGGAAACUGGGGGUAAUACCGUAUGCGCCCUUCGGGGGAAAGAUUUAUCGCCAAAGGAUUAGCCCGCGUUGGAUUAGGUAGUUGGUGGGGUAAUGGCCUACCAAGCCGACGAUCCAUAGCUGGUUUGAGAGGAUGAUCAGCCACACUGGGACUGAGACACGGCCCAGACUCCUACGGGAGGCAGCAGUGGGGAAUCUUAGACAAUGGGGGCAACCCUGAUCUAGCCAUGCCGCGUGAGUGAUGAAGGCCCUAGGGUUGUAAAGCUCUUUCAGCUGGGAAGAUAAUGACGGUACCAGCAGAAGAAGCCCCGGCUAACUCCGUGCCAGCAC